rnacentral:rRNA from 1 species
GGGGAAUUUUGGACAAUGGGGGAAACCCUGAUCCAGCAAUGCCGCGUGCAGGAUGAAGGCCUUCGGGUUGUAAACUGCUUUUGUACGGAACGAAAAGGUUCUUUCUAAUAAAGAGAGCCCAUGACGGUACCGUAAGAAUAAGCACCGGCUAACUACGUGCCAGCAGCCGCGGUAAUACGUAGGGUGCAAGCGUUAAUCGGAAUUACUGGGCGUAAAGCGUGCGCAGGCGGUUAUGUAAGACAGCUGUGAAAGCCCCGGGCUCAACCUGGGAAUUGCAUUAGUGACUGCAUAGCUAGAGUGCGGCAGAGGGGGAUGGAAUUCCGCGUGUAGCAGUGAAAUGCGUAGAUAUGCGGAGGAACACCGAUGGCGAAGGCAAUCCCCUGGGCCUGCACUGACGCUCAUGCACGAAAGCGUGGGGAGCAAAC